UACAGAGGCCUCGAGCGUUAGGCGGAAUCACUGGGCUUAAAGCGUGUGUAGGCGGAUCGUUAAGUACCUUGUGAAAUCCCACGGCUCAACCGUGGAACUGCUUGGUAUACUGGCGGUCUUGUGCAACCUAGGGGCGAGCGGAACAGAUGGUGGAGCGGUGAAAUGCGUAGAUAUCAGGAGGAACACCGGUGGCGAAGGCGGAUCUCUGGGCCAUUACUGACGCUGAGGAGCGAAAAGCGUGGGGGAGCAAACAGG
rnacentral:rRNA from 1 species